rnacentral:rRNA from 1 species
CUGAGGUGCGAAAGCGUGGGUAGCAAACAGGAUUAGAUACCCUGGUAGUCCACGCCGUAAACGAUGUCGACUAGCCGUUGGGUCCCUUGAGGACUUAGUUGGCGCAGUUAACGCGAUAAGUCGACCGCCUGGGGAGUACGGCCGCAAGGUUAAAACUCAAAUGAAAUUGACGGGGGCCCGCACAAGCGGUGGAGCAUGUGGUUUAAUUCGAUGCAACGCGAAGGACCUUACCUACCCUUGACAUCCUGCGAACCCGGAAGAGAUUCCGGGGUGCUCUCGGGAGCGCAGAGACAGGUGCUGCAUGGCUGUCGUCAGCUCGUGUUGUGAAAUGUUGGGUUAAGUCCCGUAACGAGCGCAACCCUUGUCCCUAUUUGCCAGCGAUUCGGUCGGGAACUCUAGGGAGACUGCCGGUGACAAACCGGAGGAAGGUGGGGACGACGUCAAGUCAUCAUGGCCCUUACGGGUAGGGCUACACACGUGCUACAAUGGCCGGUACAAAGGGUUGCGAAGCCGCGAGGUGAAGCCAAUCCCAGAAAGCCGGCCUCAGUCCGGAUUGGAGUCUGCAACUCGACUCCAUGAAGUCGGAAUCGCUAGUAAUCGUGCAUCAGAAUGGCACGGUGAAUACGUUCCCGGGCCUUGUACACACCGCCCGUCACACCAUGGGAGUGGACUGCACCAGAAGUGGUUAGCCUAACUUCGGAGGGCG